ACUCCUGCGGGAGGCAGCAGUGAGGAAUAUUGGACAAUGGGUGGAAGCCUGAUCCAGCCAUCCCGCGUGCAGGAAGACGGCCCUAUGGGUUGUAAACUGCUUUUAUCUGGGGAUAAACCUACUUACGUGUAAGUAGCUGAAGGUACCAGAAGAAUAAGCACCGGCUAACUCCGUGCCAGCAGCCGCGGUAAUACGGAGGGUGCAAGCGUUAUCCGGAUUUAUUGGGUUUAAAGGGUCCGUAGGCGGACUGAUAAGUCAGUGGUGAAAUCCGACAGCUUAACUGUCGAACUGCCAUUGAUACUGUUAGUCUUGAGUAAGGUUGAAGUGGCUGGAAUAAGUAGUGUAGCGGUGAAAUGCAUAGAUAUUACUUAGAACACCAAUUGCGAAGGCAGGUCACUAAGUCUUAACUGACGCUGAUGGACGAAAGCGUGGGGAGCGAACAGGAUUAGAAACCCUGGUAGUCCC
rnacentral:rRNA from 1 species